rnacentral:misc_RNA from 1 species
CCGAGUUUACAACUCCCAAACCCCUGUGAACAUACCCUAUACGUUGCCUCGGCGGAUCAGCCCGCGCCCAGUAAAACGGGACGGCCCGCCAGAGGACCCCUAAACUCUGUUUCUAUAGUGGAACUUCUGAGUAAAACCAUAAAUAAAUCA